rnacentral:rRNA from 1 species
AACGAACGCUGGCGGCAGGCUUAACACAUGCAAGUCGAGCGCCCCGCAAGGGGAGCGGCAGACGGGUGAGUAACGCGUGGGAACGUACCCUUUGCUACGGAAUAGCUCCGGGAAACUGGAAUUAAUACCGUAUGUGCCCUACGGGGGAAAGAUUUAUCGGCAAAGGAUCGGCCCGCGUUGGAUUAGCUAGUUGGUGGGGUAAUGGCCUACCAAGGCGACGAUCCAUAGCUGGUCUGAGAGGAUGAUCAGCCACAUCGGGACGUGAGACACGGCCCAAACUCCUACGGGAGGCAGCAGUGGGGAAUAUUGGACAAUGGGCGCAAGCCUGAUCCAGCCAUGCCGCGUGAGUGAUGAAGGCCUUAGGGUUGUAAAGCUCUUUCACCGGAGAAGAUAAUGACGGUAUCCGGAGAAGAAGCCCCGGCUAACUUCGUGCCAGCAGCCGCCGUAAUAC